rnacentral:rRNA from 1 species
GAUGAACGCUAGCUACAGGCUUAACACAUGCAAGUCGAGGGGAAACGAUAGAGAAAGCUUGCUUUUUCUAGGCGUCGACCGGCGCACGGGUGAGUAACGCGUAUCCAACCUGCCCAUCACUUGGGGAUAACCUUGCGAAAGUAAGACUAAUACCCAAUGAUAUCUCUAGAAGACAUCUGAAAGAGAUUAAAGAUUUAUCGGUGAUGGAUGGGGAUGCGUCUGAUUAGCUUGUUGGCGGGGUAACGGCCCACCAAGGCGACGAUCAGUAGGGGUUCUGAGAGGAAGGUCCCCCACAUUGGAACUGAGACACGGUCCAAACUCCUACGGGAGGCAGCAGUGAGGAAUAUUGGUCAAUGGACGAGAGUCUGAACCAGCCAAGUAGCGUGCAGGAUGACGGCCCUAUGGGUUGUAAACUGCUUUUAUAAGGGAAUAAAGUGAGUCUCGUGAGACUUUUUGCAUGUACCUUAUGAAUAAGGACCGGCUAAUUCCGU